UGGGGUUUUAUAGAGCGCAUUAUG
rnacentral:miRNA from 14 species